CAAUUAUUUGAUGAUUUAUUUCGAUUGUAUAAAGGAUGACAGUUAGCGAAUCUCAAGAUCAACCACUGAGGAUUGUUUGGCUUGAUGCAGUGACCUUAAACAUGUUAAAUGAUUUUCCAGGAAGGUCUAUACACAACAAGCUGAAUUUUAUGGGGUGAUGAAAGAACUAUCAAUAUUUAAAUGGGAAUGAAACAGAAGGAUUUAAUAUGUUCUACUGAUCAUCCAGCUGAAAUCAUGCCUGUGGAAUAGAGUGCAUGUCACAAAAACUGAUAUGAGCAAAUAACUCCAUAUUGCACAAAUAAGGUCAUGUUUCCUGCCCUCAUGGCCUGAAAAAGUUAAAGAUUCUAGUUCAAAUUACAAAUGUGUUUCAAGAAAAUGUAAAACUUAGUCAACUGUGAGAAAUAUUGGGUUAAAGUAGUGUUCUGAUGUCAUGACAGCUGUGAAGUUGUUUGAGAAGCACUAUCCUAAUUGUUCUAACAAUACAGAAUUUAACUUAUAAAUUUUCCAAAACUGCAUGCAUGAAAUACUAAGACAUGUCUAUUGAAUGAAUCCUAGUUGUUUCAAAACUACAACAUGUGUGACAUUAAAGCACAACCUUUGGAGGAAACAUUUUUACAAUAAAAACUGCCUUGCCAGUGUGAGUGUAGGAAGGAUUUUUCCAGAAACGGCAGAAAACUACCAGUAUAGCAGAAAAUAUUUGUUACUGGCUGAAUAUAAUAUAUUUUAUUUCAAGAAUUAAUCAUGUUAAUCUAUGGUUAUAAUUGUGUUAAAAGAUAUUUUUUUACAUGACAUGACCUUUGCAGAAAUAGCU
rnacentral:lncRNA from 1 species